AACAAUAUAUUUUUAUUUCUUUUUCUUUUAGUAGUUGGUCAUCUAAGACAACUAUUAAUCACCUCAAUUCAUUUUCUCCUUCCUUCUAUAUUCUUAAUUUGAAUUUCAAAUUUCAAAAUUUUUUUUGAUCCCAACAGCACACAGUACAGAAUUCUCCGUCGCGGGUCUGUGCGUUAAUGGCCAUGCAAAUAUCUUGAUUUUUCAUAAGAGUUUCUAUGAAUAGCCCAUAUCACAUAGUAGCGGCCAUAUACGGAUAAUCUUAUAUAGGUGGUUUCUUCCAGGGAUGUGUAUAGAGUCACAUCUCGCGGAAAUUACCGCUUUGGAUUCCAUUUAGAGCUAUCAACUCAACCUCAACCACUACACAGAGCACUACUCAUCAUAGGGAUAGGAUUGGAGCUAAAACUCCUCUAUAUACUGUAGAAGUGCUCUUUGGCCAACCCGACAGCUUGUUUUUACCAUAUUGAACUUUUUUCA
rnacentral:lncRNA from 1 species